AAACUGAAUACAUACAGGUCAACUGAACAUGGAUGGAUACCAUGAGGCCAAAAGAGGGCUUUCAUAUCCUCUAGAACUGUAGUUACAGAUAACUGUGAGCCACCAUGUAAGUUCUGGAAACCAAACAGAUAAUUAAAGAUCUUUUUUUUUAUUGUGAAAGAAAGUACCUAUUCAUCCCAGAGAAGAUACCAAGACACACUGAAGAAGCCACUCUGUUCAAGUAUAGCUUGGAGAAAACAGUAUGAUUAUGGAUUCUCUGAGGACCAUGGUUGGCUACAGUAUAUAUUACUGAAGAAAAGCAGCUCCCUUUACCAAUAUUUAAUUGCAUAUAUGCUCUUGGGAAAAUAAUGGCCUCUUGAGACCCUGUCCCUACCAACCAUUGACUUACUGUCAGUCUUUGGGGAGAUGGUGACCUUGUGAGCACAUUUCCCUAGAAACUAUUAACUGUCUAUAAAAAUCUUAGGAACAAAACCUCAUAAGCCCUCUCCUCUGUGACAGAAAGGCAAUGGACACAGUCUGUGUAUGUCUCAGUGAAUCACAACUGUUGGAUUUCAAGAAGACAACAGCUAUGUUAUGGCCUGAAGACAACAAUGUUUAUAGUCAUGAUCAGCAGGGAUGUCAAGGCUGGGAGCCAUUGGGAUAGAGGGAAACCUCUUCAGUUUUUCCUUUUCACUGUCUCCUGUAGGUAGCCCUAAGGAAAGCUUAAGUAUACAUUUAUGUGCUCAUCUCAAAUUUAUUAAUUUCCCCUCAUUUGGAAAAGAAAGCAUCUCAGAUGUAAUUAAGUUAAUAAACUUAAAAUAAAACCAUCCUUGUAGAUUAUUCAGACAAGCAUUAAGUGUAAGGACAAGCAUCUUCGCAUGAAGAACACAGAUAAAAGAGGAGACAAAGAGACCCAGCGAAAGAGCAGAGCACACAGGCAGAUAUUUUAGUAUUGCAAUCAAAAGCCAAGAACAGAAGAGAUGCCAGCUUUCCCAGAUGAUAGAAGAGGCCAGGAAAAACUCAAGUCUGGAGUCCCCUAAGGGAGCGAGGGCGGCUGACAUCCAGAUGUGGGAAUUAAGCCUUCCAAGAGCGAGGAUAAGUUCUGUUAUUUUCAGCCAGGAAACCACAAUAGAAUCACUAAGACAGAAGUAGCUCUGUGUCACAGCUCCUCUCAAAUGUUAAUUUUUCCUCCUCACCUCUGGUCUGUGUUCUUGAUAUUCAGUGUAGUAGUUUGCCUUCAAAACCCAUUUCGUUUUAAAUUUUAU
rnacentral:lncRNA from 1 species